rnacentral:ncRNA from 2 species
AGGUGUCAGAAAAGUUACCACA